AAAGCUAGAAAGCAACUAAGAAAAAGAAGGACUUUAGGCUACCAGAAUUAUGCUACAUUCUGCAGCUGGAAGAUUUCCCUACCUCCCUAACAUCCCUACCUCCUUCUAUGUAUUCAGUUCUAAACUCUGCAGUUCAAACAUACA